UGAGGAAUAUUGGACAAUGGACGAAAGUCUGAUCCAGCCAUGCCGCGUGAGUGAUGAAGGCCUUAGGGUUGUAAAACUCUUUAAGUAGGGAAGAUAAUGACGGUACCUACAGAAUAAGCCACGGCAAACUUCGUGCCAGCAGCCGCGGUAAUACGAAGGUGGCAAGCGUUACUCGGAAUUACUGGGCGUAAAGCGCGUGUAGGCGGGAAACUAAGUCAGGGGUGAAAUCCCAGAGCUUAACUCUGGAAUUGCCUUUGAAACUAGUUUUCUUGAGUAUGGUAGAGGAUGGUGGAAUUUCUAGUGUAGAGGUGAAAUUCGUAGAUAUUAGAAGGAACACCAGUGGCGAAGGCGACCAUCUGGACCAUUACUGACGCUGAGACGCGAAAGCGUGGGGAGCAAA
rnacentral:rRNA from 1 species